UACGGGGGGGGCAAGCGUUGUUCGGAAUUACUGGGCGUAAAGCGCGCGCAGGCGGUUUCUUAAGUCUGAUGUGAAAGCCCCCGGCUUAACCGGGGAGGUCAUUGGAAACUGGGAGACUUGAGUGCAGAAGAGGAAAGUGGAAUUCCAAGUGUAGCGGUGAAAUGCGUAGAGAUUUGGAGGAACACCAGUGGCGAAGGCGACUUUCUGGUCUGUAACGUGACGCUGAGGCGCGAAAGCGUGGGGAGCAACAGG
rnacentral:rRNA from 1 species